CGGGGCAGACGGCGGCGGCCUCAACAGCGACCAUGGAGGAGGGGUGCCACGCGGGGUGACCGAGCAGCUGUCGUUGGUGGCGGCCUCCUCCCUCGUCCCCUCCACCCUGCAGGUCUCUCGUCAAACUCGCCGUCCCCGACCACGACCAUGGCAGGGAAGCUUCCUCUGAUCCCGAGCACCGCGUGCUAGAUCCUCCCCGACCAUGAGCGCGGGAACCAGCUCGUGAGGCCAUGGACCAAUAAGCUGCGCAGAGACAACUUUCAUGGAUAAAUAAGGACGGGAGUCAGAGGCUGGCAGG